rnacentral:rRNA from 1 species
AACGAACGCUGGCGGCAGGCCUAACACAUGCAAGUCGAGCGCCCCGCAAGGGGAGCGGCGGACGGGUGAGUAACGCGUGGGAAUAUGCCCUUUGCUACGGAAUAGUCUCGGGAAACUGGGGGUAAUACCGUAUACGCCCUUUGGGGGAAAGAUUUAUCGGCGAAGGAUUAGCCCGCGUUGGAUUAGGUAGUUGGUGGGGUAAUGGCCUACCAAGCCGACGAUCCAUAGCUGGUUUGAGAGGAUGAUCAGCCACACUGGGACUGAGACACGGCCCAGACUCCUACGGGAGGCAGCAGGGGGGAAUCUUAGACAAUGGGGGCAACCCUGAUCUAGCCAUGCCGCGUGAGUGAUGAAGGCCUUAGGGUUGUAAAGCUCUUUCAGCUGGGAAGAUAAUGACGGUACCAGCAGAAGAAGCCCCGGCUAACUCCGUG